CCUACGGGAGGCAGCAGUGGGGAAUAUUGCACAAUGGGGGAAACCCUGAUGCAGCGACGCCGCGUGAGUGAAGAAGUAUUUCGGUAUGUAAAGCUCUAUCAGCAGGGAAGAAGAAAGCCGGUACCUGACUAAGAAGCCCCGGCUAACUACGUGCCAGCAGCCGGGGUAAUACGUAGGGGGCAAGCGUUAUCCGGAUUUACUGGGUGUAAAGGGAGCGUAGACGGCUGUGCAAGUCUGAAGUGAAAGCCCAGGGCUCAACCCUGGGACUGCUUUGGAAACUGUGGAGCUGGAGUGCGGGAGAGGUAAGUGGAAUUCCUAGUGUAGCGGUGAAAUGCGUAGAUAUUAGGAGGAACACCAGUGGCGAAGGCGGCUUACUGGACAGUAACUGACGUUGAGGCUCGAAAGCGUAGGGAGCAAACAGGAUUAGAUACCCUUGUAGUC
rnacentral:rRNA from 1 species